rnacentral:rRNA from 1 species
UACGGGGGGGGCAAGCGUUGUUCGGAAUUACUGGGCGUAAAGGGCUCGUAGGCGGCCAACUAAGUCAGACGUGAAAUCCCUCGGCUUAACCGGGGAACUGCAUCCGAUACUGGAUGGCUUGAAUCCGGGAGAGGGAUGCAGAAUUCCAGGUGUAGCGGUGAAAUGCGCAGAUAUCAGGAGGAACACCGGUGGCGAAGGCGGAUCUCUGGGCCUUACCUGACGCUCAGGCGCGAAAGCUAGGGGAGCGAACAGG